rnacentral:rRNA from 1 species
GAUGAACGCUGGCGGCGUGCCUAAUACAUGCAAGUCGAGCGAACGGACGAGAAGCUUGCUUCUCUGAUGUUAGCGGCGGACGGGUGAGUAACACGUGGAUAACCUACCUAUAAGACUGGGAUAACUUCGGGAAACCGGAGCUAAUACCGGAUAAUAUUUUGAACCGCAUGGUUCAAAAGUGAAAGACGGUCUUGCUGUCACUUAUAGAUGGACCCGCGCUCCAUUAGCUAGUUGGUAAGGUAACGGCUUACCAAGGCAACGAUGCAUAGCCGACCUGAGAGGGUGAUCGGCCACACUGGAACUGAGACACGGUCCAGACUCCUACGGGAGGCAGCAGUAGGGAAUCUUCCGCAAUGGGCGAAAGCCUGACGGAGCAACGCCGCGUGAGUGAUGAAGGUCUUCGGAUCGUAAAACUCUGUUAUUAGGGAAGAACAUAUGUGUAAGUAACUGUGCACAUCUUGACGGUACCUAAUCAGAAAGCCACGGCUAACUACGUG